GUUUUAUACUUUCUUAUUUCCAUUUGUUUGUUAUUGAUUUUGGAAUCAAUUUAAGUUUAUCUUUGAUUUGUUGGGUAUUUUUAGGAGUAAUUUCUCUAGUUCGAUUUUAGGGUUUUCUUAUCUGCAACGAAGGUUCCAUUUCAGAUUUUUUUUCUUAAUUAUUUAUCUGCAAGUGUCUUCGGGUUUCCAUUAUUUUUAUUAUUUUUUUUUAUAUUUCAUUACAUACAUGUGUAGAAGGUGAUUUUUUUCCUAGGGACAUGUAUUAUUCAGAAAAAUUUAACCAUGUAAAACUUUUUGUACCCUUUCCUUAUUCAGAUCUGUGUUUUCGGUCUCUCAAUUUAUACCAAUCAUGAUAUUUGAUUUCUUAAUCUCAACUAGCGUAAUUUACUCUUAUUAAAUUGGUAAAAAGAGUAUUGUAUUUUGUUUUUUUCCUGUAGAUUACCCUUAUUAAAUUGAUAUGUUAGAAGUCGGUUUGUUUAGCAAUUUGAUUAGUUGUAUGUAUUACUCUGAUGACAAAUCAGCAAAGAACCUGACAAUAUGAACUAAAUAUAAAUGUAUGUUACUUCCAAUACUUAAUUUGAUAAUGAUAUAUAUCUUUUUUUUGCUUUCUACAGAACAUCAAGAUCAUACCAUGGCUACAGCGAGCACAGUUGCUGCUAAAGAAACAAUAUACAAAAAUUCAAAAGUAACCCAAUAGUUCAGCAGAGCUAGAAGAAGAAAUGAUGGCCAAAAUCUCAAAAUUCAAGGUUUGUCCAGUUAACAAAAAUGUAAUAAUAAAAAAUACAUCCAUUUUAUUCAAUCUGUGACCCACAGUAAAAAGAAAUGAACUUUCUUUUUAUGAGUUGCUUUAAACAAAAUAAACUUCUUUUUUCUUUUGUGACCUGCUGUAAGUAGCAACAAACUUUCUAAAUUUCUUCUUUUGCUUAGUAUUUUGAACCCAUAUUGUUGGAAUCUAAAUUACAUAUAUAUGCUUGAAAAUUUUCAUAUUUGUACUUCUUCAUGGAGUAAAUUUUAUAUAAUAAGUGUAAUUAAUCUUUAAAAUAAUUACAACCAACGAAGUUAAGAUUUUAUAUUUUCAUUAUUUUUUUUAAAUUUGUGUUUUGCUACACUAACAAUGCAAGCUGAGAAACAUGCCCCUUCUGACAUGCAAUGCAAAGACACACUUCUCCUUCAGACUUCAGAGUGUAAUUGUAAUCCCAUGAGCAACACCUGAAACGCUAAGUAUGAGCAUAUAUCCAAUUUACCCUUUCAUGAAUUUCUUUGAUUAAUUGGUUAACAAAUGAGGUCUAAGACAAAGGGGGAAAGGAACUAAGGCCAUGGUUACGCAAUUGCUUUUAGUUUUGUUUCAUAUGAUUGUUUUUAGUGUCAAAAAAGGUUAAGAAUGUGGACUUUAUUGUUUACGUAACUUGAGAAGUGUUUAUGAUCAAUGAACUCAUGAAAAAUUGUUUAUGAUCAAUGAAGUUCAUCAAUUACAUAGAGACGAGUCAAGGUGACACAAGAUUCUAAUGAGAUCUUCCAUUUUUGAAAAUUUAAAAGAUCCUACUAUCUAACUUUUUUAAAAUAUUUUGUAUAGUUUUUUUUCUUCAGUUGGUUCACCAAGUUGAGCAAGUUAAUUUUGGUAUCCAUGACUUGGACAUGCAAGGAGUUUCAAGUUUGGUAUUGAAAAGCCUAUGCAAUAUAGGUCUUUAAUCUUGUCUUUUGUUUGAAAUUUAUGUACAUGUAGGUGUGAGUAAUCGCUUAUUAUGACAUGUGUCGCCUGUAGCAUGUACUAUUUUUUUUAUCCAUUCGUAUUACAUUUAUAUUCUUGGUUCUAGGUUCAUUAAAUAUAUUUUUAAAUGA